ensembl:lncRNA
GAAUUAGAGCCAUCUGUUUAUGUAAGCAAGAGGCGUCUGGUGCUCUUUUCCUCUCCCUUCCUCUGAGGCAGAGUCCAGGGCAAAGAGUACCAUCGCAUACGAAAAGUGGUGCUUCCACAAAGAGGCAGUAGUAAGGUGAGAUGAGACCCUUGACUGCACAGAGCGGACAGUCCAGAGAGAUUCACCACAUGUAAGCAGGCAGCCCCCACACACAACGAGCAUAGCCAGGAUGAGAGGAAGACAGAUCUGUGGGAGCACCCAGGCCCGCUCCCUAAUCCAGACUUACAGGCAAUAUUUUUUUAACAACAACCAGCAAAAAGACCAUCUAAUGUAUGCUGAGAACUGGAAGAGCAGAAAAAAGACUUUUGCAGGAUGGUUGUCUGAUUCCUUGGGAAAUCUGAAGAGCUUGAAUGGGAAGGCGCACAGACUGAAGACUGUCUCAGGCGGGAAACAACAGCAUAAGCAAAGGCCGGCAAGCCUUCCCUCAGUCAAAGCAUUGGUAUAUUUUCACACUGCAGGCCAAGCCUCAACAAUAACUCCACCAGGAUUUAGAAAACUGGAUAGAUUCUAGAGAACUCUUUUUGAAAUGCUGAGUAAACCAAACAUCUCCCCUGCCCUUUGCAGUCUGAUGUGUAGAAAGCACCCAGUAAAUAUUUCCUACAUUAACGAGUUCACUUAAAAGUUGGGUCACAGUAAGAAAGUACAUAAUCAGAAAUGAAGGCAACUACGUACAGCAGAGGAGAAAAGAGAAUCUAGGUGAUAUAAAGCAAACGUCACUGUGCUGGCUGGGCAAACAUAUGGUAUGCUAAAUAUUAAGGAAAUUCAAAAGGAGCCUUCAUUGUCAUUAAUAAUGACCUUGUAUUCCAUAUGUGAGUAUUUACCUUGAUUUCUGUAUCAAAGCAAAACUUGCUUUACACUAUAAUUACAUUUGAAAUGAUAUAGCAUAAAUAUUAAAUGAUGGUAUAGACUGUGGCUGAUGUGGAGCUUUUUGUGGUAACACAGUAAGAUGCAAUGAGUAACACAUUACAGAACACAUGAUUGGAGAUCAUCACAGCCUCUUGCUCUGAAAGAAGAGUUCAAUGCUUUUUUCUGUAGCAUGUGUCACAGUGAUUCUAGAAAGUGAAGUUUUCAAAGCCACAUCUUAAUGAAGAGAUUCUCGUUAUUUACACAUCUGACCAAAGAAGGACAUGUGGGCAGAUACACGCAUCCAUCAUUAGCCAUCCUGUUGCUGCCUCACAGAUGCCCCGACCAUAUUGUUGUCAAAACAGCUUCAAUGUUGCUACAGUGCCCUAAUGAGGCAUAAAAUGUUCCUGUUUAUAAGACAGAUCUGUACACAUCUUCAUAAGGGUACAAGAGAAUAGUAUCUGAAAUAUGGCAUCUGCCAACUUUGCAGCAAUCUCUUAGUCUAACUCACCCUAUUUUCAGAAAAACUAUCUUCACGUAUUCAUUUAAUACAUGAUUUCAUUUACUGCUAUGUGGACAGCAUUGUCUCAAUGACUAUGGACAGUUCAAAAGAAGUUUAAGGCUUGGUUCUUGCCUCUAGAAGUCUUAAAUUCUAACCAGAGAAAUAAGAUUUACGUACAUAAAAUGGUCAUCACGUCAAAUGGACAGAAAUAAUAAUAACA